rnacentral:rRNA from 1 species
CAGGAUGAACGCUGGCGGCGUGCCUAAUACAUGCAAGUCGAACGCUUCACUUCGGUGAAGAGUGGCGAACGGGUGAGUAAUACAUAAGUAACCUGGCAUCUACAGGGGGAUAACUGAUGGAAACGUCAGCUAAGACCGCAUAGGUGUAGAGAUCGCAUGAACUCUAUAUGAAAAGUGCUACGGGACUGGUAGAUGAUGGACUUAUGGCGCAUUAGCUUGUUGGUAGGGUAACGGCCUACCAAGGCGACGAUGCGUAGCCGACCUGAGAGGGUGACCGGCCACACUGGGACUGAGACACGGCCCAGACUCCUACGGGAGGCAGCAGUAGGGAAUUUUCGGCAAUGGGGGAAACCCUGACCGAGCAACGCCGCGUGAAGGAAGAAGUAAUUCGUUAUGUAAACUUCUGUCAUAGAGGAAGAACGGUGGAUAUAGGGAAUGAUAUCCAAGUGACGGUACUCUAUAAGAAAGCCACGGCUAACUACGUGCCAGCAGCCGCGGUAAUACGUAGGUGGCGAGCGUUAUCCGGAAUUAUUGGGCGUAAAGAGGGAGCAGGCGGCACUAAGGGUCUGUGGUGAAAGAUCGAAGCUUAACUUCGGUAAGCCAUGGAAACCGUAGAGCUAGAGUGUGUGAGAGGAUCGUGGAAUUCCAUGUGUAGCGGUGAAAUGCGUAGAUAUAUGGAGGAACACCAGUGGCGAAGGCGACGAUCUGGCGCAUAACUGACGCUCAGUCCCGAAAGCGUGGGGAGCAAAUAGGAUUAGAUACCCUAGUAGUCCACGCCGUAAACGAUGAGUACUAAGUGUUGGGGGUCAAACCUCAGUGCUGCAGUUAACGCAAUAAGUACUCCGCCUGAGU